AGCUUUUCAAAUCCGUGCUGAGAUUUCGUCAGACACCAACUCAUUAGUGUUGAUCAGGCUUCCAAGAUAAGUGAAGUU
rnacentral:pre_miRNA from 1 species